rnacentral:rRNA from 1 species
AUUGAACGCUGGCGGCGUGCUUAACACAUGCAAGUCGAGCGGUAACAGGCGUAGCAAUACGUGCUGACGAGCGGCGAACGGGUGCGUAAUACAUGGGAAUCUGCCUAGUAGUGGGGAAUAACCCGGCGAAAGCCGGCCUAAUGCCGCAUACGGAUCCACGGAUGAAAGCGGGGGACCUUCGGGCCUCGCGCUAUUAGAUGAGCCCAUGUCGGAUUAGCUAGUUGGGAGGUAACGGCUCACCAAGGCGACGAUCCGUAGCUGGUCUGAGAGGACGGCCAGCCACACUGGGACUGAGACACGGCCCAGACUCCUACGGGAGGCAGCAGUGGGGAAUAUUGGACAAUGGGGGAAACCCUGAUCCAGCGACGCCGCGUGUGUGAAGAAGG